rnacentral:rRNA from 1 species
CUUCCCGGCCAUAGGCGGUGGGCCCCACCCGCUCUCGUCAGAUCGCGGAAGUUAAACCACCGUCCGCCGUGGGGAGUACUGGGGUCCGCGAGGCCCUGGGAAACCCCGGUGCCGGGAGCC